AUCACCUAGAGAUCUUGUUAAAAUGCAGGUUCUGAUUCAGAAGGUCUAGAGUGUGCCCAAGAUUUUGCAUUUUCACAGGCUUCCAGGUGAUGCUGC
rnacentral:pre_miRNA from 1 species